rnacentral:rRNA from 1 species
AUGGAGGUAGUGACAAUAAAUCACAAUGCGGAACAAUGUUUUGCAAUUGGAUUGAGAACAACGUACAAACCUUAUCGAUAAACAAUUGGAGGGCAAGUCUGGUGCCAGCAGCCGCGGUAAUUCCAGCUCCAAUAGCGUAUAUUAACGUUGUUGCAGUUAAAAAGCUCGUAGUUGAAAUGAAGGGUAGUUGUGUAAUGAAUACAUUCGUGUAUUUUGUUAUUCUACUACCCUCCUUCUAAAUUCGAUAUAUGAGUAUUAAUUUACUUGUAUAUGGUUUUAGACGUUUACUGUGAGAAAAUUAGAGUGUUCAAAGCAGGCAUUUGCUUGAAUAUAUUAGCAUGGAAUAAUCAUGUAUGAUUUUCAUGAUGUAUUUGAUUGGUUUGGUUCAUGAGAAUAAGAUUAAAAGGGACAGUUGGGGGUAUUCAUAUUCAAUAGUCAGAGGUGAAAUUCUCGGAUUUAUGGAAGAUGAACAAGGGCGAAAGCA